rnacentral:rRNA from 1 species
GAUGAACGCUAGCGGCAGGCCUAAUACAUGCAAGUCGAGGGGCAGCGCAGGUAGCAAUACUGGGCGGCGACCGGCAAACGGGUGCGGAACACGUACGCAACCUUCCUUUAAGUGGGGGAUAGCCCAGAGAAAUUUGGAUUAAUACCCCGUAAGAUAGUGGACUGGCAUCAGUCAGCUAUUAUAGCUCCGGCGCUUAAAGAUGGGCGUGCGUCUGAUUAGGUAGUUGGCGAGGUAACGGCUCACCAAGCCGACGAUCAGUAACUGGCGUGAGAGAGCGACGAGUCACACGGGCAAGGAGAAACGGGCCCGACUCCUACGGGAGGCAGCAGUAAGGAAUAUUGGUCAAUGGAGGCAAGUCUGAACCAGCCAUGCCGCGUGAAGGAUGAAGGUCCUCUGGAUUGUAAACUUCUUUUAUGUGGGAAGAAACCACUCUUUUCCAAGGGUGUUGACGGUACCAUAGGAAUAAGCACCGGCUAACUCCAUGCCAGCAGCCGCCGUAAUAC